AUGGGUGGCCAUAUGAUUUCUUCGCCGGAUCUCCCAGCUAGGGUUACCGCCGCCGCCGCCCUCACCCGGGCUCGCGUCCUCUUCAACUCCGGCUGUGAGCUCCACCCCCUCCAGCGGUCCAGCCUUCGGAGCACAGGGGUGCGGGGCAGUGGUGGACGGGCCUGUGAAGGAACUGCAAGAGGCGCUGGAUGCGGACAUCCAGGCCGCAUCAUGAAGGAGCUGGAGAUGCAGAGCUACAUCAGGACCGCGAGCGCGAGGUCGCCGGAAAAAAUACCACCAUAA
rnacentral:rRNA from 1 species